CCUAAUGUCAUGCCCUGUUUUCGCCAAGGUUAAACAAAACAUGACUUAUUAGACUCUAGAGAAUUGAAAAUUUUUACAGAGUCGCCACCUAAUUUUUAAGGAAAAUAAGGAAACCUGUUUAUUCAUUAACACGUAUGAUUGAUGUUUUUAGUCUGCGAAAAACCAAUUGAGACUCUAGGUAAGGGUUCAAAUUAUCCCGAAUGGAAGGGGUUAGGCACCCUUCAGGAUCCACAAAUGUGGUACCCAACUAGACUAAACUUAUCAAUGAGGGAGGAGGUAUAAAUAUUUAAAAAUAAUGUAAAAGUGCAUGUGUAUUAAGUAUAAAAUAAUUUUUUUGAAAAAAUACCAAUUUAAAUUUAUGUAAAAGUAUAUGUAUAUUAAAUAUACAAAUAAAAUCUAUUGUUAUAGAAACAUGUAAAAGAUAUGUAUAAAUAUGUAUAAAUUACAUGUGAAAAAGAAAGUAUUUUGUGAUGUAUGAAAAGAAAUAUGUAAAGGAUAUGUAUAAAAAUGUAUAAAUUACAUGUAAAAAAGAAAGUAUUUUGUGACAUGAAAAGAAAUGUAUUUUGAUGUGUCAUGAAAAGGAAAAGCAUUUACAAGUAAUAUUUUUAUUUGAUUAAAGUUACGGAGAAAAGUAAAGAUUUAUUUGAAAAGAAAAGACUACAUAAUAUGUGAAUUAUUUGAUUAACUUAAUUCUUUUAUCUAAAUAUUAAAGGCCUAAGUUUUGCUUAAAAGCGAUGAAAUUAUGUAAAUAAAGAAUAUCCCCGCCCGGCACCCAAAAAUAAAGUUUCCACUAUCUUUUAUCUUUCUGUACAAUUAUACAAACGAGAAAUAAACUACAAACAUAAAGCUCGAGAAUUGUGUAUAAGUGCUUGAUAAAGUAAUGAAGAGAUAAUCAUUAAAGUAAGUGAAAUUAUGUGCACACAUAUGUACAUAUAGAUGUACAUAUAAAAAUAGUGUCUUGUUAUAAAAUGGGCUCGAAUUAAGUUUUAGACUCAUCAUGGCUACGAAGUGGUUGCUCGACUAAUCGGCCGUCCUAAAUCGCCUUGCCAAGAUACGAAUCAUAAAACCUUUUGUGGUGUCGUGGUGUUAUAAAAGUUUCGUCAUUGUCCAAAAUAUUUAAUUUUUUUAUUACGUAUUUAUAUACGUAAUAUCCGUCUUUUAUUAGUGGAGGCCUCAAAAAUCGACGGUAAUCUUUUCAUUGGCCAAGAAUAUUUAUUUUGACAUAAAAUAGAUAAAUUUGAAAAAAUAAAGUCUGUCUUUUGUAAUGAGGCGGCCUCAAAAAUUCGACGGAAAGAUAUUUUCAUCGGCCAUGUGUUGGCUUUUGAUAUAAAAUAAUGAAUUUGACAAAAUAAAUCUGUCUUUUGUCACGGAAUGGCCUCAAAUAUCUGACGGAAAGAUAAUUUCAUCGGCCGAAGUAUUUAUUUUGAGUAUAUGUAUGUGUCUUUGAGAAAAAUUAAAAGAUGAACUAAUUUUGUGUUUGAGGGAGAGGAGAAAGAGGUGAAAAAUAUGUGUGAAUUUUUUGAGAGAGAGG
rnacentral:lncRNA from 1 species